rnacentral:rRNA from 1 species
GAUGAACGCUAGCGGCAGGCCUAACACAUGCAAGUCGAGGGGUAGCAGGAUUAAGCUUGCUUAAUUGCUGACGACCGGCGCACGGGUGCGUAACGCGUAUGCAACCUACCUUAUACUGGGGUAUAGCCCGGAGAAAUUCGGAUUAAUCCCCCAUAGUACUAAUGAAUCGCAUGGUUUAUUAGUUAAAGCAUUGCGGUAUAAGAUGGGCAUGCGUCCUAUUAGCUAGAUGGUGAGGUAACGGCUCACCAUGGCUACGAUAGGUAGGGGGCCUGGGAGGGUGGUCCCCCAGACUGGUACUGAGACACGGACCAGACUCCUACGGGAGGCAGCAGUGAGGAAUAUUGGUCAAUGGGCGCAAGCCUGAACCAGCCAUGCCGCGUGCAGGAAGAAUGCCCUAUGGGUUGUAAACUGCUUUUAUUUGGGAAUAAACCUCUUUACGUGUAGAGGGCUGAAGGUACCAAAUGAAUAAGCACCGGCUAACUCCGUGCCAGCCGCCGCAGUAA